GUGUCCCCUGCAUUGGCAGGCGGAUUCUUAACCACUGCGCCACCAGGGAAGUCCCUACCCCUGACUUUUUCUAAGGACAGGUUGGUUGACUGAGGUGGAGCUUGCUGUGUGGCAACCACUGUGGAUUCUGAGAGCAAAAGGAGGUGAGCAGCGGCAGGAAAAACCCUAGCAGACGCCGAGCUCUUCUGUGGGUGAGGCUCAUCACUCACUUGUUUAUCAUUUCAUCCUCCCAGGAACAUCACGAAUUGUGAUAAAUGGUGUGCAAUGCUGGUUUAAGAUAAGAGUCUACAGUUUGGUGGAAAGAAUUUUCAGAAACACGAAUUCCCUCCUUCCUGCCUGCAACCCUGACGUCUUGGACUGUAAGAACUGUAGACAGUUGGAGAUCAGAGGGACCAUCUCCUACCUUCACCCAGGAGAGCCUUGGAGUACAGAAAGAAAGCAUCACCUUUGUCCCAUCAGUAAUGUGGGCCAGCUACUCAAGCACUUUGGCUUAUAUUGACCCUCUUGGGGUUACUAACUCAUUGAUGAA